GGGGAUGAUAAGAAUUCUACUUUGAGAUAGUCUUGUUGUCUGCUCGCUUCGGGAGGUGUCGGCGACUUCCGUGAUCAACACCGACAAAAACAACUGCAAAAUCUGCAAAAACAGGACUUCAACGUCUUGCUGCAAGCUUCGCUCCAAAGGCAAGCUUCGCAUAUGCUGCCUAGUUCUUUUACUCGGUAGUCGAGCCUCCACAUAGUGGAUGAGUACCAGAUGGUCUGCUCACAACCUCACAUUCUCCCGUGCUCGUGGAAUGAGUUGCAUCUUAGAGUUACCGAAUACUCAAGUCUUUCACUCUUUGUGAUAGGUAUUUGUAUCUACAAAGGUCUCGUAUUUCUUUUUGAGUAUUUCUCGUGAGAUAGGAGUAAUUCAAAUAUUCUAUAAGCGUACCGGCAUACAAUGAGCCUCAGAGGACACGGGGGCGGUUCCCGUCAUCUCCACCA
rnacentral:tmRNA from 1 species